UAACAAUGAUACCCUUAGUAGCGGCGAGCGAAGUGGGUAAAGCUCAAGUUUAAAACCUGUUUGUCCUAGACAAACCGGAUUGUAAACUAAGGACGUGCUAUCCAGGCUCUUUGGACCUUCAAGUCCUUUGGAAUAAGGCUUCACAGAGGGUGACAAUCCCGUAGAGGGUCUUGAAAGAGUCUAUUGCGAUGCAUGCUCCAAGAGUCAGGUUGUUUGGGAAUGCAGCCUAAAGUGGGAGGUAAAUCCCUCCUAAAGCUAAAUAUUGGCGAGAGACCGAUAGCAAACAAGUACCGUGAGGGAAAGUUGAAAAGGACUUUGAAAAGAGAGUCAAAAGUACGUGAAAUUGCUUAAAGGGAAGCGUUUGGAGCUAGUUUGGCUAGUCUGUUAUCAGCCUGAGCUUCGGCUUUGGUGUACUAUCAGGCUAUUUGCCGGCCAACUUUCAGGAUUGGAAGGAAAGCUUAGUGCUUUGGAGUCUAAAGAGACCUUUGCGGAAGCCUCUGGUGGAGCGUUGGUCUGCCUUGGCCCUUCUGAACCUAUAGUUGGCUUAAUGGCUCUA
rnacentral:rRNA from 1 species